UCGACGAUGAAUCUUCUAGCUUGCUAGAAGUGGAUUAGUGGCGCACGGGUGAGUAAUGCAUAGGUUAUGUGCCCUUUAGUCUGGGAUAGCCACUGGAAACGGUGAUUAAUACUGGAUACUCCCUACGGGGGAAAGUUUUUCGCUAAAGGAUCAGCCUAUGUCCUAUCAGCUUGUUGGUGAGGUAAUGGCUCACCAAGGCUAUGACGGGUAUCCGGCCUGAGAGGGUGAUCGGACACACUGGAACUGAGACACGGUCCAGACUCCUACGGGAGGCAGCAGUAGGGAAUAUUGCUCAAUGGGGGAAACCCUGAAGCAGCAACGCCGCGUGGAGGAUGAAGGUCUUAGGAUUGUAAACUCCUUUUGUUAGAGAAGAUUAUGACGGUAUCUAACGAAUAAGCACCGGCUAACUCCGUGCCAGCAGCCGCGGUAAUACGGAGGGUGCAAGCGUUACUCGGAAUCACUGGGCGUAAAGAGUGCGUAGGCGGGGUAAUAAGUCAGAUGUGAAAUCCUGUAGCUUAACUACAGAACUGCAUUUGAAACUGUUACUCUGGAGUGUGGGAGAGGUAGGUGGAAUUCCUGGUGUAGGGGUAAAAUCCGUAGAGAUCAAGAGGAAUACUCAUUGCGAAGGCGACCUGCUGGAACAUUACUGACGCUGAUGCACGAAAGCGUGGGGAGCAAACAGGAUUAGAUACCCUGGUAGUCCACGCCCUAAACGAUGGAUGCUAGUUGUUGCCUUGCUUGUCAGGGCAGUAAUGCAGCUAACGCAUUAAGCAUCCCGCCUGGGGAGUACGGUCGCAAGAUUAAAACUCAAAGGAAUAGACGGGGACCCGCACAAGCGGUGGAGCAUGUGGUUUAAUUCGAAGAUACGCGAAGAACCUUACCUAGGCUUGACAUUGAUAG
rnacentral:rRNA from 1 species